rnacentral:rRNA from 1 species
UUUCGGGUCGUGGUGACCUGCGGAAGGAUCAUUACCGUUGGACGGGUCAAACUCCAAUCGGGAUAGACACCCCUGCCUUCGAGUACCUUGGUUCGUUUCCUCGGCGGGCUCGCCCGCCGGUGGACAUCCAAAAAAACCCCUUGUAAUAGCAGUAUCUUCUGAAUAAAAAGCAAAUAGUCAAAACUUUCAACAACGGAUCUCUUGGUUCUGGCAUCGAUGAAGAACGCAGCGAAAUGCGAUAAGUAGUGUGAAUUGCAGAAUUCAGUGAAUCAUCGAAUCUUUGAACGCACAUUGCGCCCUUCGGUAUUCCGUUGGGCAUGCCUGUUCGAGCGUCAUUUGAAAAUUCAAGCUCAGCUUGGUGUUGGGUGCUUGUCCCCCCCUUCCGCGGCGGGACUCACCUCAAAUGCAUUGGCGGCCGGCAUGUUGGCUUCGAGCGCAGUAGAAACGCGCCCGGCGUCUGGACGUGCCCGGUCUUCCACGAAGCCCACUUCUAACGCUUGACCUCGGAUCAGGUAGGGAUACCCGCUGAACUUAAGCAUAUCAAUAAGCGGAGGAAAAGAAACCACAGGGAUUGCCCUAGUAACGGCGAGUGAAGCGGCAACAGCUCAAAUUUGAAAUCUGGCCCUUUCAGGGUCCGAGUUGUAAUUUGUAGAGGGCGCUUUGGUGUUGGCUGCGGUCUAAGUUCCUUGGAACAGGACGUCACAGAGGGUGAGAAUCCCGUACGUGGUCGACAGCCUCCACCGUGUAAAGCCCCUUCGACGAGUCGAGUUGUUUGGGAAUGCAGCUCUAAAUGGGAGGUAAAUUUCUUCUAAAGCUAAAUACUGGCCAGAGACCGAUAGCGCACAAGUAGAGUGAUCGAAAGAUGAAAAGCACUUUGGAAAAGAGAGUCAAAAAGCACGUGAAAUUGUUGAAAGGGAAGCGCUUGCAAUCAGACUUGGCCCGCAGUUGCUCAUCCAGGCUCGCGCCUGGGUGCACUCUUCUGCGGGCAGGCCAGCAUCAGUUUCAGGCGGCUGGAUAAAGGCCUCUAUCACGUAUCUUCCUUCGGGUUGACCUUAUAGGGAAGGCGCAAUGCAGCCAGCCUGGACUGAGGUCCGCGCUUCGCUAGAUGUCGCGAAGAUUAACCGCCCUUUUUAAAAACCAAAAAA